UCAGGCGUGGUAUAGCGGAAACACGGCCUUUGCAUCUUCCGUAGCAUCGAAAUAGCAUUUAGGAGGUAGUCCCGGGUUCGAACCCCGGCGUCUGAG